UUGUUGAUAUUUGAUCUUGGUGUGAACGGACUCAUAAUCCGUUUGUCCACAGUUCAAGUCUGUGUGGGCCCACCA
rnacentral:tRNA from 1 species